AUCUGAAGUUAAUCUGAAGACUAUUGUGUUUAAAAUAAACAGUAAAAAAAUAUAUAUAUUAUUUUUUCAUUUUUAAUGACUAGGACCCUUUUGGAUCCCCAAUAAUUUUAGUAGGAUUUUUUUUUCUGUCUCAUUGCUAAAAUAAAAAUAAAAAUCAAUUCAAAUCAAUCUUAUGACAUUUUUAUGGCUCCAAUUAUUCUAUAAUCUCAAAUAUUCCACUUUAAAUUUCUAUUGGGGGAAACUAUUGCAUAUUCUGUGUGUUUUUUUCCAUAACAAAACAGGGUUUUCUUUGACACGCCCACUUUAAUAGUGAAGAAGCCGUACUAGUAAAAACGUAGAAACGCUAUGGACGGCUGGAAAACUGAACGCUGCAUUUGUAAAAAAAAAAUUCAAAAUUAAUCGCCAAAAUAGACGGUUACAAAACAAUUGGUAUUGACUCAAAGGUGACAGGUACCCAUCCCUAGCCACGCCCACUUUAAUAGUGAAGAAGCCAUAUGAGUAGAAACGCUACGGACGGCUGGAAAACCGAACAGUAUUGCGGUUGAAAAAAAAAAUGUCAUAGUUAAUCGCCAAAAUAGACGGUUGCAAAACAAUUGGUAUUGAUUCAAAGGUGACAGGUGCCCAUCCCUAGCCACGCCCACUUUAAUGGUGAAGAAGCCAUACGAGUAGAAACGCUACGGACAGCUGGAAAACUGAACGCUGCGGUUGAAAAAAUAAAAAAUGUGUCAUAAUUAAUCACCUAAAUAGACGGUUGCAAAACAAUUGGUAUUGACUCAAAGGUGACAGGUGCCCAUCCCUAGCCACGCCCACUUUAAUAGUGACGAAGCCGUACGAGUAGAAACGCUACGGACGGCUCAAAAAUCGAACAGUAUUGCGGUUGAAAAAAAAAAUUUAAUUCAUAAUUAAUCGCCAAAACAAUUGGUAUUGACUCAAAGGUGACAGGUGCCCAUCCCUAGCCACGCCCACUUUAAUAGAGAAGAAGCCAUAUGAGUAGAAACGCUACGGAUGGCCGGAAAAAUGAACAGUAUUGCGGUUGAAAAAAAACAAAAAAAUAUCAUAAUUAAUCGGCAAAAUAGACGGUUGCAAAACAAUUGGUAUUGACUCAAAGGUGACAGGUGCCCAUCCCUAGCCACGCCCACUUUAAUAGUGAAGAAGCCGUACGUGUAGGAACGCUAUGGAUGGCCGGAAAAAUGAACAGUAUUGCGGUUGAAAAAACCCCCAAAAAUGUCAUAAUUAAUCGCCAAAAUAGACUGUUGCAAAACAAUUGGUAUUAAAUCAAAGGUGACAGGUGCCCAUCCCUAGCCACGCCCACUUUAAUAGUGAAGAAAACAUACGAGUAGAAACGCUAUGGACGGCUCAAAAAUCGAACAGUAUUGCGGUUGAAAAAAAACAAAAAAAUUCAUAAUUAAUCGCCAAAAUAGACGGUUGCAAAACAUUUGGUAUUGACUCAAAGGUGACAGGUGCCCAUCCCUAGCCACGCCCACUUUAAUGGUGAAGAAGCCGUACGAGUAGAAACGCUAUGGAUGGCUGGAAAACUGAACACUGUGGUUGAAAAAAAAAAAAAUGUCAUAAUCGCCAAAAUAGACGGUUGCAAAACAAUUGGUAUUGACUCAAAGGUGACAGGUGCCCAUCCCUAGCCACGCCCACUUUAAUAGUGAAGAAAACAUACGAGUAGUAACGCUACGGACGGCUCAAAAAUCGAACAGUAUUGCGGUUGAAAAAAAAUAAAAAAAUGUCAUAAUUAAUCGUCAAAAUAGACGGUUGCAAAACAAUUGGUAUUGAUUCAAAGGUGACAGGUGCCCAUCCCUAGCCACGCCCACUUUAAUAGUGAAGAAAACAUACGAGUAGAAACGCUAUGGACGGCUCAAAAAUCGAACAGUAUUGCGAUUGAAAAAAAAAAUUAAAUUCAUAAUUAAUCGCCAAAACAAUUGGUAUUGACUCAAAGGUGACAGGUGCCCAUCCCUAGCCACGCCCACUUUAAUAGUGAAGAAGCCAUAUGAGUAGAAACGCUACGGAUGGCCGGAAAAAUGAACAGUAUUGCGGUUGAAAAAAAACAAAAAAAUGUCAUAAUUAAUCGGCAAAAUAGACGGUUGCAAAACAAUUGGUAUUGACUCAAAGGUGACAGGUGCCCAUCCUUAGCCACGCCCACUUUAAUAGUGAAGAAGCCGUACUAGUAGAAACGUAGGAACGCUAUGGACGGCUGGAAAACUGAACGCUGCAUUUGAAAAAGUACAAAAAAAAAGUCAUAAUUUAUAGCCAAAAUAGAUGGUUGCAAAACAAUUGGUAUUGACUCAAAGGUGACAGGUGCCCAUCCCUAGCCACGCCCACUUUAAUAGUGACGAAGCCAUACGAGUAGAAACGCUAUGGAUGGCCGGAAAAAUGAACAGUAUUGCUGUUGAAAAAAAACAAAAAAAUGUCAUAAUUAAUCGGCAAAAUAGACGGUUGCAAAACAAUUGGUAUUGACUCAAAGGUGACAGGUGCCCAUCCUUAGCCACGCCCACUUUAAUAGUGAAGAAGCCGUACUAGUAGAAACGUAGGAACGCUAUGGACGGCUGGAAAACUGAACGCUGCAUUUGAAAAAGUACAAAAAAAAAGUCAUAAUUUAUAGCCAAAAUAGAUGGUUGCAAAACAAUUGGUAUUGACUCAAAGGUGACAGGUGCCCAUCCCUAGCCACGCCCACUUUAAUAGUGACGAAGCCAUACGAGUAGAAACGCUAUGGAUGGCCGGAAAAAUGAACAGUAUUGCUGUUGAAAAAAAACAAAAAAAUGUCAUAAUUAAUCGGCAAAAUAGACGGUUGCAAAACAAUUGGUAUUGACUCAAAGGUGACAGGUGCCCAUCCCUAGCCACGCCCACUUUAAUAGUGAAGAAGCCAUACGAGUAGAAACGCUGUGGACGGCUGAAAAAUCGAACAGUAUUGCGGUUGAAAAAAAAUAAAUUCAUAAUUAAUCGCCAAAAUAGACGGUUGCAAAACAAUUGGUAUUGAUUCAAAGGUGACAGGUGCCCAUCCCUAGCCACGCCCACUUUAUUAGUGAAGAAGCCAUAUGAGUAGAAACGCUACGGAUGGCCGGAAAAAUAUCGCCAUUGAAAAAAAAAAAAUAAAAAUGUCAUAAUUAAUCGGCAAUAUAGACGGUUGCAAAACAAUUGGUAUUGACUCAAAGAUGACAGGUGCCCAUCCUUAGCCACGCCCACUUUAAUGGUGAAGAAGCCGUACGAGUAGAAACGCUAUGGAUGGCUGAAAAACUGAACACUGUGGUUGAAAAAAAAAAAAAUGUCAUAAUCGCCAAAAUAGACGGUUGCAAAACAAUUGGUAUUGACUCAAAGGUGACAGGUGCCCGCCCCUAGCCACGCCCACUUUAAUGAUUCCGCGUCCAAAUCCUGCAUCCCAGAAACGCCGGAGAAGACACGAGUUAGUUAGCCAUUUACCGCGUUAUGGACUCACUCUCAUCGUUAAAUCCCGUCAUUCCACCACUGACAUGAAUAUUAAUUAUAAUUCCUGCACAUUUUAUGCACAUUAUUAUUAUUAUUAUUAUUUUUAAGUCCCCAACUGUCGCACUCGGACUAGUUUUCCCCCCGAGCGUCACCAUCGUAGAAGGGGACGGAAAAAAGGAAAACGGCUCGCCCGACCCUCGCUGCGCACACUUCCCCCCAAGCACACGCGCCGCCAACCCCUCCCAGGCGUGUACCCAAAUGCCAAAUGCGCCUUAAUGUUUGUGUUCGGACCGUCCACUCGACAUGCCAACUGUUCUCCUGACGCUUCGCCACCGUACGGUUUGAUGCCGGUGCACAAUGGACGCCACUUGCACUUAGUCGUCGCCUCUGCUGGAGAUGUGCUCCCCUGCAGGAGACUCUCCGCCAUGUCUUCCAUUUUUAUCCAACCCGAAUGUAUUGUUGCUGUUGCGGGCCCUCAAGGGGGGGAGGAACGUUUACAAGCCGUGACGCGAUUCUGUUUCACAAAUUUUUGUAUAUUUAAUAAAGAAUAUUUAGUGUUUCUUCCUCACCGUA